UAGUUCUCGGGACGGUGCGGGGAGAGGACGUCCGGCAUUCGGCAGCCUCUCUGUGGAAGCUGGCGGGAAAAGUUUGUACUUCGAACAAAUAUUUCUAAAAGUAAAAUAAUAAACUAAAGAAACUCCUAAAGUCCAGACCACACUUCUCAACACUUACCACACCUAUUCGCACGAAAAA
rnacentral:lncRNA from 1 species